AAAUGAUCAGCAUAAUAAAUGUAAUUAAAACAAAGAAGAACCUAAUAAAGGUGCUUAAAAGAAAGAAAGUAAAUAUAGAAAGUAAGUCAUAUCACAUUUUUAUAUUUCCUGAAUCACCGUUUUCUCACCAAAGAGUUAUUGUGAGAGUUAUCUAUUCAAUAAAACUUACCACUGGCUUCUUUUUCUAAUAAUUUGCAGUUCUGACCAAGACAAAGCUAAAGAGAGGAGGGCCACCGACUCAACAUCAACAAGAGGAUUUGAAGGAAGAUUCAAGAAAACAGAAGUUAGAGACAGCAGGCGCAGGGAAGAAAGAUCCCGAGAAAGCCAAGCAACAGAGAAUUUCAGGCCAGUUUUCAAGUCACCUGUUACACAUGAGAAAGAGCUACUAAAUCCCAAAAGGAAGCAUGAAAAUGCGAGUCCCCAUAUCUCAGGGAGAAGCUCCAGCAGGCAUGCUGCAACAAACCAGCCUUCUUCAAAAGAGUUGGAGAAAAAGAGACAGGAGCUGGUGUCGAGGAGAUCCACAGCAGAGUAUCCCAGGUGGACACCUGCAAAGGAUGAUUGUCCCCCGGAGAAACUCCAGGAGAAAAGGAGUAAGCUUGUGAAAAGGCCGUUGUCACCAGAGCUUCAUGCUGAACCCAAACGAAGAGACAUUAAAAACAUCACCAAUGCUGCACAUGCAGAAUCUCAUUCUGAAGUUCAAAAGGAAAUGAUGAAGACGUUAAUGGCCAGGAGGUCCAAUAAGAUCAACCAUAAUGUUGGUGCGCAGAGAUCUCAUAACAACUCCAAAGAAGCUUUGCCAGUAGUGAAACAUGUAGACUCUGGAUCUAAACUGAAAUUACAAGAAGAUGUUUCACCCAAGAAGCAAGAGCAUGUACAGUUGGGGAAUGAACCUGGUGUAAUCUUAGGAGAAAAAAGGCCAUCCUUUGGUGGUCCCACAGCAAAAGUCAGUUUCAAGAUCUCAAAAAAAGCCAGUACUGUUAAAGCUUGGACAAACACGGAUGUGUGUAAUGUGAAUUCUUCAGAUGGCAGGACUCAAAGUACCGCUCAGCCUUCUUUCCCUGGUUCCACUCCUUCUAAACACAAAUUUCUCAUCUCACAGCAGCAAGGACAGAGGCUUCAAGAGGUUUCUGCUCAAACCUCUCAUAAACCCACUUCUCUUAGCUCGUCACAUCUGUCAUCUAUAUCUCACCAAGUCCAGGAGGCACACGACCGACAAAACAAGAGAGGUCACAACGCCGAACAAUACUUCCUCCAAGGUUCAACAUGUAACUCCUCAGGAAGCCGCAGAGACCUUUGACUGCGACCAUGAGGUUAACACAUUCUUAGGAUUUUAGAUAGAAAUCUUNUGUGUUUGUUUGUUUCUCUAUUCUGUUUCGUUCUAUUUGUUUAGUAUUGGAGUC
rnacentral:lncRNA from 1 species